AUUGAACGCUGGCGGAAUGCUUUACACAUGCAAGUCGAGCGGCAGCGCGGGGGCAACCCUGGCGGCGAGCGGCGAACGGGUGAGUAACAUAUCGGAACGUACCCAGUAAUGGGGGAUAACUACCCGAAAGGGUAGCUAAUACCGCAUACGCCCUGAGGGGGAAAGCGGGGGAUCGAAAGACCUCGCGUUAUUGGAGCGGCCGAUAUCGGAUUAGCUAGUUGGUGGGGUAAAGCUCACCAAGGCGACGAUCCGUAGCGGGUCUGAGAGGACGACCCGCCACACUGGAACUGAGACACGGUCCAGACUCCUACGGGAGGCAGCAGUGGGGAAUUUUGGACAAUGGGGGGCAACCCUGAUCCAGCCAUUCCGCGUGAGUGAACGAAGGCC
rnacentral:rRNA from 1 species